UGCCCAGCAACUCCUAUCCCUACCUCCUCAUGGUACUGGCCGGGGUACCAGUAACCUUGGGGAAGA
rnacentral:ribozyme from 1 species